rnacentral:rRNA from 1 species
AUUGAACGCUGGCGGCAUGCUUUACACAUGCAAGUCGAACGGCAGCGCGGGCUUCGGCCUGGCGGCGAGUGGCGAACGGGUGAGUAAUGCAUCGGAACGUGCCCAGUAGUGGGGGAUAGCCCGGCGAAAGCGGGAUUAAUACCGCAUACGACCUGAGGGUGAAAGCGGGGGACCGAAAGGCCUCGCGCUAUUGGAGCGGCCGAUGUCGGAUUAGCUAGUUGGUGGGGUAAAGGCUUACCAAGGCGACGAUCCGUAGCUGGUCUGAGAGGACGACCAGCCACACUGGGACUGAGACACGGCCCAGACUCCUACGGGAGGCAGCAGUGGGGAAUGUUGGACAAUGGGGGCAACCCUGAUCCAGCCAUGCCGCGUGCGGGAAGAAGGCCUUCGGGUUGUAAACCGCUUUUGUUCGGGAAGAAAUCCUCUGGGCUAAUACCCCGGGGGGAUGACGGUACCGGAAGAAUAAGCACCGGCUAACUACGUG